ACACGCUGGCGGCGUGCCUAAUACAUGCAAGUCGAGCGGGGAUUAUGCUUGAUCGCUUCGGUGAGACGGCAUAUAUCCUAGCGGCGGACGGGUGAGUAACGCGUGGGUAAUCUACCUCGUAGUUCGGGAUAACAGGCCGAAAGGCUCGCUAAUACCGGAUGAGUUCAUGCUUAUGCAUAUAGGCAUGAAGAAAGGGCUAGCCCGCUAUGAGAUGAGCCCGCGUCCCAUUAGCUUGUUGGUGAGGUAAGGGCUCACCAAGGCUGCGAUGGGUAGCCGGCCUGAGAGGGUGGACGGCCACACUGGGACUGAGACACGGCCCAGACUCCUACGGGAGGCAGCAGUAGGGAAUUUUCCGCAAUGGACGGAAGUCUGACGGAGCGACGCCGCGUGGGGGAAGAAGGCCUUCGGGUUGUAAACCUCUGUCUUCAGGGACGAAGAGGGUGUGGGAGACACACCGAAGCCGGUACCUGAGGAGGAAGCCCCGGCUAACUACGUG
rnacentral:rRNA from 1 species